rfam:Lactobacillus ruminis ATCC 27782, complete genome.
AAGUCCUUUAAAAUUAGUCCAGAGAGGCUAAGAAGGUGCGGAUUGAGCAAUGGAAUCAGUGUGUCGGUACUGAUGAAAUUCGUUUACCACUUAGCCUUAAACAGUACGUUUUAGGCUGAGUGGUUUUUUAUU